UACAGAGGUCUCAAGCGUUGUUCGGAUUCAUUGGGCGUAAAGGGCGCGUAGGCGGGCCACCAAGUCCGGGGUGAAAUCCUCCAGCUUAACUGGAGAAUAGCCCUGGAUACUGGUGGUCUCGAGCGAGGUAGGGGCAGCUGGAACUUCCGGUGGAGCGGUGAAAUGCGUUGAUAUCGGAAGGAACGCCGGUGGCGAAAGCGAGCUGCUGGACCUCUUCUGACGCUGAGGCGCGAAAGCCAGGGGAGCAAACGGG
rnacentral:rRNA from 1 species